rnacentral:lncRNA from 1 species
CCCAGUAACCCAAAUCUCACAGCAAAGCAGACUUUAGACCAAAUCCAAUCGGAAAAAUCAAAUCUUGGAUGCCCAACUUUCUCAAAAUUGGAAGUGACAGAUGCAAACCAGUCAAAACCCAAGAUACUAGAAUACCCAAAGAAUCUCAAAACAAAGUUAAGAAAUAGAGAGUACCCAGUUUAAAUAAGUAUAAGAUCCUGGAGGAAGAAGACAAUGAAACAGAAACAACAAUCUUGAAGUUCACAUCAGUUGUUCAAUUAUGUGAACAAAACCCAAUAUUGAGGAUCAUAAGAACAACCAAAUUAAUAAUACUGAAAGAAUAUUCUUGGAUAGUUCAUCAAACAAGAAGAUUGAAAAAAGAAGCCAAUACUGACCUUUCUUUG